GGAGGAAGGUGGGGAUGACGUCAAGUCAGUAUGGCCCUUACGGCCAGGGCUGCACACGUACUACAAUGCCCGGCACAAAGGGAAGCAAUACCGUAAGGUGGAGCAAAUCCCAAAACCGGGACCCAGUUCAGAUUGCCGUCUGCAACUCGACGGCAUGAAGCUGGAAUCGCUAGUAAUGGCGCAUCAGCUACGGCGCCGUGAAUACGUUCCCAGGCCUU
rnacentral:rRNA from 1 species